GACGUAGGUGGCGAACGUUAUCCGGAAUUAUUGGGCGUAAAGCGUCCGCAGGUGGUUUUACAAGUCUGCUGUCAAAGCGCGGAGCUUAACUUCGUAUCGGCAGUGGAAACUGUGGAACUAGAGUUUGGUAGGGGUCACGGGAAUUCCCAGUGUAGCGGUGAAAUGCGUAGAUAUUGGGAAGAACACCAGCGGCGAAAGCGCGUGACUGGGCCUGAACUGACACUCAUGGACGAAAGCUAGGGGAGCGAAAGGG
rnacentral:rRNA from 1 species